rnacentral:tRNA from 1 species
UCCCUGGUGGUCCAGUGGUUAGGACUCUCUGCUUCUACUGCAGCAGGCACUGGUUCAGUUCCUGGUCGGGGAA